AUUGAACGCUGGCGGCAUGCUUUACACAUGCAAGUCGAACGGUAACAGGCCGCAAGGUGCUGACGAGUGGCGAACGGGUGAGUAAUGCAUCGGAACGUGCCCAGUCGUGGGGGAUAACGCAGCGAAAGCUGUGCUAAUACCGCAUACGAUCUGUGGAUGAAAGCGGGGGACCGAAAGGCCUCGCGCGAUUGGAGCGGCCGAUGUCAGAUUAGGUAGUUGGUGGGGUAAAGGCUCACCAAGCCAACGAUCUGUAGCUGGUCUGAGAGGACGACCAGCCACACUGGGACUGAGACACGGCCCAGACUCCUACGGGAGGCAGCAGUGGGGAAUUUUGGACAAUGGGCGCAAGCCUGAUCCAGCAAUGCCGCGUGCAGGAGGAGGGCCUUCGGGUUGUAAACUGCUUUUGUACGGAGCGAAAAGGCUCUCUCUAAUACAGGGGGCUCAUGACGGUACCGUAAGAAUAAGCACCGGCUAACUACGUGCCAGCAGCCGCCGUAAGAC
rnacentral:rRNA from 1 species